CCUACGGUGGCAGCAGUGGGGAAUAUUGCACAAUGGGGGAAACGCUUAUGCAGCGACGCCGCGUGAGAGGAGAAGUGUCCCGGUAUGUAAAGCCCUAUCAGCAGGGAAGAAAAUGACGGUAACUGACUACGAAGCCAAGGCUACCUACGUACCAGCAGCGGCGGUAAUACGGAGGGGGCAAGCGUUAUCCGGAUUUACUGGGUGUAAAGGGAGCGUAGACGGCGCUGCAAGUCCGGAGUGAAAGCGCAUGGCUUAACCCUGGUACUGCUCUGGACACUGUGGAGCUUGAGUGCAGGAGGGGCAGGCGGAAUGCAUAGUGUAGCGGUGAAAUGCGUAGAGAUUAGGCAGAACACCGACGGCGAAGGCAGCCUGCUGGACCGUAACUGACGUUGAGGCUCGAAAGCGUGGGGAGCAAACAGGAUUAGAUACCCCGGUAGUC
rnacentral:rRNA from 1 species